ACACACGGAUAACAUACCGAAAGGUAUGCUAAUACGGGAUAAUAUAUUUGAGAGGCAUCUCUUAAAUAUCAAAGGUGAGCCAGUACAGGAUGGACCCGCGUCUGAUUAGCUAGUUGGUAAGGUAACGGCUUACCAAGGCGACGAUCAGUAGCCGACCUGAGAGGGUGAUCGGCCACAUUGGAACUGAGACACGGUCCAAACUCCUACGGGAGGCAGCAGUGGGGAAUAUUGCACAAUGGGCGAAAGCCUGAUGCAGCAACGCCGCGUGAGUGAUGAAGGCCUUCGGGUCGUAAAACUCUGUCCUCAAGGAAGAUAAUGACGGUACUUGAGGAGGAAGCCCCGGCUAACUACGUGCCAGCAGCCGCGGUAAUACGUAGGGGGCUAGCGUUAUCCGGAUUUACUGGGCGUAAAGGGUGCGUAGGCGGUCUUUCAAGUCAGGAGUGAAAGGCUACGGCUCAACCGUAGUAAGCUCUUGAAACUGGGAGACUUGAGUGCAGGAGAGGAGAGUGGAAUUCCUAGUGUAGCGGUGAAAUGCGUAGAUAUUAGGAGGAACACCAGUUGCGAAGGCGGCUCUCUGGACUGUAACUGACGCUGAGGCAUGAAAGCGUGGGGAGCAAACAGGAUUAGAUACCCUGGUAGUCCACGCUGUAAACGAUGAGUACUAGGUGUCGGGGGUUACCCCCUUCGGUGCCGCAGCUA
rnacentral:rRNA from 1 species